GACAGAGGGGGCAAGCGUUGCUCGGAAUCACUGGGCGUAAAGGGCGCGUAGGCGGGAUGGCAAGUCGGUCGUGAAAUCCUUCGGCUCAACCGAAGAACGUCGGCCGAUACUGCCGUUCUUGAGGGAUGCAGAGGAGAUUGGAAUUCCCGGUGUAGCGGUGAAAUGUGUAGAGAUCGGGAGGAACACCGGUGGCGAAGGCGGGUCUCUGGGCAUCUCCUGACGCUGAGGCGCGAAAGCGUGGGGAGCGAACGGG
rnacentral:rRNA from 1 species